rnacentral:rRNA from 1 species
UCCCAGACUCCUACGGGAGGCAGCAGUGAGGAAUAUUGGUCAAUGGACGGAAGUCUGAACCAGCCAUGCCGCGUGCAGGAAGACGGCUCUAUGAGUUGUAAACUGCUUUUGUACAAGGGUAAACCUGAAUACGUGUAUUCAGCUGAAAGUACUGUACGAAUAAGGAUCGGCUAACUCCGUGCCAGCAGCCGCGGUAAUACGGAGGAUGCGAGCGUUAUCCGGAUUUAUUGGGUUUAAAGGGUGCGCAGGCGGAUUUUUAAGGCAGCGGUCAAAUCGUGGGGCUCAACCCCAUCCAGCCGUUGAAACUGGGGAUCUAGAGUGUGCGAGAGGUAUGCGGAAUGCGUGGUGUAGCGGUGAAAUGCAUAGAUAUCACGCAGAACCCCGAUUGCGAAGGCAGCAUACCGGUGCACAACUGACGCUCAGGCACGAAAGCGUGGGUAUCGAACAGGAUUAGAUACCCCCGUAGG